rnacentral:rRNA from 1 species
UACAGAGGUCCCGAGCGUUGUUCGGAUUCACUGGGCGUAAAGGGUGCGUAGGUGGUUGGGCAAGUCUGAUGUGAAAUUUCCGGGCUUAACCCGGAAAUGGCAUUGGAAACUGCCUGGCUAGAGUGUUGGAGGGGGGACUGGAAUUCUCGGUGUAGCAGUGAAAUGCGUAGAUAUCGAGAGGAACACCAGUGGCGAAGGCGAGUCCCUGGACAACGACUGACACUGAGGCACGAAAGCUAGGGGAGCAAACAGG